AGCUUUGCGCAGUGGCAGUAUCAUAGCCAAUGAGGUCAAACCGAGGCGUGAUUAUUGCUAAUUGAAAACUUUUCCAAUAUCCCCGCGUGAUGACUUGAAAUAUAGUCAGCACUGGCAAUUUUUGACAGUCUCUCAGGAGA
rnacentral:snRNA from 1 species